CUCACUGCCCCCUGGAUGGGCAGUGAGUUGGUGGGUUCCAGAGACCAAGGUGUAGCCCAGCCCUGGCCCUGCCCCCCGAAACCGAGAUGGCACCCCUGCCCGGAGGGGGAUGGAUGGGGUCCUCCUAGGCUGACCUCACAGUAGACCAGAACACAGAGGGAAGACAAGGGGAGCGGGGACAGUCGGGUCAAUGCUGGGAUCCAGAGAUCCUUUUCUUGAGUCAACUGUAUAACUUGUACUGGCAUUGUCUGGAUUUAUGUGGCCUUCCGGAGGAGUGAACGUCUUCAUGUUGAAUUAUCCUGGCCCCGAGGUGGAUGCAGGUGAUGUCAGCCUCGGAAUCCGCUUGGAGAUAAUAAAGAUCGACACUGUGCCUUGGAAUACACCUUAGUACCCUGUAAUCUGUACGCCCUGGGGCUGCUUUAACCCCUUCACCGCUGUCUGUCGCAGGAGCCCCAGGUCCUUACCCUGUGGGGACGGAGCGCAGGGCAGGUUGCCCUGGGCUCCUGGGUCGCCUGCAUCUGCCUUCCCCUAACUGGAGAAGCCUCCUUCUUCUCCUGAGGACUGAGCCAUCUGCCCUGCUACUGGUUGGCUUGUUCAAGUCAGUGUCCAAAUUCUUACCUGCAGUUUCAAGGGGGCACUGGGAUGUCAGCAGAUGAGAGGACUUUGAGAAGCUAAUGACUUGCCCAAGGUCAGCUAGGAAGCAAGACCAGGAUUCCCAACCCAGGGCUGCUGUGAGGAUCAAACAAGAUAAUGUAUGCUAAGGCAUGCUGUGAACACUACGUGCUGGGUACAGGAGAAUGGAGGCCCCAGAGUGGGUCUAAUGACACUCUGUUGAUGAAGAUCUUGGCUGUGACCUCUGUGGGAAAUGAGCCACGGACCAACCAACAAAGAAUGCACUAGAGCUGAAUAGCCAUCUGUAACAGAUAAGCAACUUGCCUCUAUGGGUAAGGAGAAUGGAGGCUAAUUUUCAAUGUACCCUGUCUGAUUUCUUCAUUAUCUCAAGAGGAAGAUAUUGACUGUCCCUUCUAUGGAUAAGGACCAAAGUGACUCAUUGAAUGAAUCAAUAAACAAAAGGAUAAAGGACUGAAGAAAAAGAGUGCAAAGCUGGAGACAAUGAUGAGACCUCGAGUGGAGGCUGAGUCUGAACCUAAAAUCCUGUGGGGGGCAGCCCGGGUAGCUCAGCAGUUUAGCGCCGC